AGAUCGGGAAGGGAAGAGCGUGUCACAGAAGCGACAGAAGGGAUUUUGGGUGAUAUCUGAGAUGAAUCGCUAACCGUACGGUCAGAUAUCUGUCUAACGGUUUCGCCGUUUUCCACACCAGGUUACUCCACUCCAGAGUCCCAAAACAACAACAGGACGUCCCUGACCUUCAACCUAAAUUUCUGGCCAACCUAUGAACCACCAAUGAGGAGGCAGGAGAGUAGACAGAGAUCCAAUCAGGGUUCUCGAAGACCAAACAUCAAAUGGUGAAAUAGGCAAUCAGAUGGGAGGAAAAGGACAGAGCCAUACUCAGCUGUCUCCCUGACGACAGUCCCCAGGACCACAGACAAAUGUAGCUCCAGAGGUUGUCCUCGUCAUCCCUGACUCUCACACACUGUGGAGAACAUGAACAGAGAUGUAAAUGGAGGCUCAGAUUGAUCUCUCAAUGUAAAUGGAGGCUCAGAUUGAUCUGUCAAUGUAAAUGGAGGCUCAGAUUGAUCUGUCAAUCUAAAUGGAGGCUCAGAUUGAUCUGUCAAUCUGAACAAAGUGCAUAAAUAAAAGGUGUGGAGACUCUGUCCAAUGAGCUACGUCAAGGUACUUCCCUCUACCUCUUCUCCGUUCCUCUGGACCAAUCAAAGGAGGACCGUCCUUCCUCCGGACCAAUCAAAGGAGGACCCAUCCUUCCUCCGGACCAAUCAAAGGAGGACCCAUCCUUCCUCCAGACCAAUCAGAGGACCAUCUCCCCCAAAAAAUGAAUGGGUCCGCAACUGAAAAAGAUGUUGUAUCCUUCCUACGGACUAACCUGAGAGAA